UCACUGAAGGAAUAAAAAAAAAACCACCCCAAAGGGGCCUUUAUUAACAUAAAUGCACCAAAUUGGGCGCGACAAGAAACAAGUGCAAAUUAAACAAUAUUCUUAGUGAAACAUCUAAAAGUAGGGGGAACUAACAAAAAGUUACAUCAUUUAACAUCUUCGGCGUUUGGGCCAGAUUAUAUAAAUACUAGAGAGGAGGAUAACGAUGUAACAAACCACCUCCAUGGAUCUUUCGGUGAUCAAAAACAAAUGGAAAGAAACAUUUGUAACCACACAUUUUAAACGGGACAGGCCAUUCGUCACCCCCGCACUCACAAACUGGGCCGAAUACGAAGCAACAGGCCAUGAAACUCCCGCACCAACGCACUGUAGCCGAGCACCUACGGCA